rnacentral:rRNA from 1 species
GUGCUUGCACCUUAUCUUAGCGGCGGACGGGUGAGUAAUGCUUAGGAAUCUGCCAUUUAGUGGGGGACAACAUUCCGAAAGGAAUGCUAAUACCGCAUACGUCCUACGGGAGAAAGCAGGGGAUCUUCGGACCUUGCGCUAAAUGAUGAGCCUAAGUCGGAUUAGCUAGUUGGUGGGGUAAAGGCCUACCAAGGCGACGAUCUGUAGCGGGUCUGAGAGGAUGAUCCGCCACACUGGGACUGAGACACGGCCCAGACUCCUACGGGAGGCAGCAGUGGGGAAUAUUGGACAAUGGGCGGAAGCCUGAUCCAGCCAUGCCGCGUGUGUGAAGAAGGCCUUUUGGUUGUAAAGCACUUUAAGCGAGGAGGAGGCUACCUGGAUUAAUACUCUGGGAUAGUGGACGUUACUCGCAGAAUAAGCACCGGCUAACUCUGUGCCAGCAGCCGCGGUAAUACAGAGGGUGCGAGCGUUAAUCGGAUUUACUGGGCGUAAAGCGUGCGUAGGCGGCUGAUUAAGUCGGAUGUGAAAUCCCUGAGCUUAACUUAGGAAUUGCAUUCGAUACUGGUCAGCUAGAGUAUGGGAGAGGAUGGUAGAAUUCCAGGUGUAGCGGUGAAAUGCGUAGAGAUCUGGAGGAAUACCGAUGGCGAAGGCAGCCAUCUGGCCUAAUACUGACGCUGAGGUACGAAAGCAUGGGGAGCAAACAGGAUUAGAUACCCUGGUAGUCCAUGCCGUAAACGAUGUCUACUAGCCGUUGGGGCCUUUGAGGCUUUAGUGGCGCAGCUAACGCGAUAAGUAGACCGCCUGGGGAGUACGGUCGCAAGACUAAAACUCAAAUGAAUUGACGGGGGCCCGCACAAGCGGUGGAGCAUGUGGUUUAAUUCGAUGCAACGCGAAGAACCUUACCUGGCCUUGACAUACUAGAAACUUUCCAGAGAUGGAUUGGUGCCUUCGGGAAUCUAGAUACAGGUGCU